rnacentral:misc_RNA from 1 species
GAUGAAGAACGUAGCGAAAUGCGAUAAGUAGUGUGAAUUGCAGAAUUCAGUGAAUCAUCGAAUCUUUGAACGCACAUUGCGCCCCUUGGUAUUCCAUGGGGCAUGCCUGUUCGAGCGUCAUUUGUACCUUCAAGCUUUGCUUGGUGUUGGGUGUUUGUCUCGCCUUUGCGUGUAGACUCGCCUUAAAAUAAUUGGCAGCCGGCGUAUUGAUUUCGGAGCGCAGUACAUCUCGCGCUUUGCACUCAUAACGACAGCGUCCAAAAGUACAUUUUACACUCUUGACCUCGGAUCAGGUAGGGAUACCCGCUAAACUUAAGCAUAUCAAUAAGCGGAGGA